rnacentral:rRNA from 1 species
GAUGAACGCUGGCGGCGUGCCUAAUACAUGCAAGUCGAGCGAACGGACGAGAAGCUUGCUUUUCUGAUGUUAGCGGCGGACGGGUGAGUAACACGUGGAUAACCUACCUAUAAGACUGGGAUAACUUCGGGAAACCGGAGCUAAUACCGGAUAAUAUUUUGAACCGCAUGGUUCAAAAGUGAAAGACGGUCUUGCUGUCACUUAUAGAUGGAUCCGCGCUGCAUUAGCUAGUUGGUAAGGUAACGGCUUACCAAGGCAACGAUGCAUAGCCGACCUGAGAGGGUGAUCGGCCACACUGGAACUGAGACACGGUCCAGACUCCUACGGGAGGCAGCAGUAGGGAAUCUUCCGCAAUGGGCGAAAGCCUGACGGAGCAACGCCGCGUGAGUGAUGAAGGUCUUCGGAUCGUAAAACUCUGUUAUUAGGGAAGAACAUAUGUGUGAGUAACUGUGCAUAUCUUGACGGUACCUAAUCAGAAAGCCACGGCUAACUACGUG